AUGCAGUCGAGGGGCAGCAUCAUCAAAGCUUGCUUUGAUGGAUGGCGACCGGCGCACGGGUGAGUAACACGUAUCCAACCUGCCGACAACACUGGGAUAGCCUUUCGAAAGAAAGAUUAAUACCGGAUGGCAUAAUUAUUCCGCAUGGGAUAAUUAUUAAAGAAUUUCGGUUGUCGAUGGGGAUGCGUUCCAUUAGGCAGUUGGCGGGGUAACGGCCCACCAAACCUACGAUGGAUAGGGGUUCUGAGAGGAAGGUCCCCCACAUUGGAACUGAGACACGGUCCAAACUCCUACGGGAGGCAGCAGUGAGGAAUAUUGGUCAAUGGACGAGAGUCUGAACCAGCCAAGUAGCGUGAAGGAUGACUGCCCUAUGGGUUGUAAACUUCUUUUAUACGGGAAUAAAGUGAGCCACGUGUGGCUUUUUGUAUGUACCGUAUGAAUAAGGAUCGGCUAACUCCGUGCCAGCAGCCGCGGUAAUACGGAGGAUCCGAGCAUUAUCCGGAUUUAUUGGGUUUAAAGGGAGCGUAGGCGGGUUGUUAAGUCAGUUGUGAAAGUUUGCGGCUCAACCGUAAAAUUGCAGUUGAUACUGGCGACCUUGAGUGCAACAGAGGUAGGCGGAAUUCGUGGUGUAGCGGUGAAAUGCUUAGAUAUCACGAAGAACUCCGAUUGCGAAGGCAGCUUACUG
rnacentral:rRNA from 1 species